GCUGGACGCGCUUCGGCGCACCCAGAAACCCUUUGUGAACUUAUACCUAUUGUUGCCUCGGCGCAGGCCGGCCUCUUCACUGAGGCCCCCUGGAAACAGGGAGCAGCCCGCCGGCGGCCAACCAAACUCUUGUUUCUAUAGUGAAUCUCUGAGUAAAAAAACAUAAAUGAAUCAAAACUUUCAACAACGGAUCUCUUGGUUCUGGCAUCGAUGAAGAACGCAGCGAAAUGCGAUAAGUAAUGUGAAUUGCAGAAUUCAGUGAAUCAUCGAAUCUUUGAACGCACAUUGCGCCCUCUGGUAUUCCGGAGGGCAUGCCUGUUCGAGCGUCAUUUCAACCCUCAAGCCUGGCUUGGUGAUGGGGCACUGCCUGUAAUAGGGCAGGCCCUGAAAUCUAGUGGCGAGCUCGCCAGGACCCCGAGCGUAGUAGUUAUAUCUCGCUCUGGAAGGCCCUGGCGGUGCCCUGCCGUUAAACCCCCAACUUCUGAAAAUUUGACCUCGGAUCAGGUAGGAAUACCCGCUGAACUUAAGCAUAUCU
rnacentral:rRNA from 1 species